rnacentral:lncRNA from 1 species
AAGAACAACUGUAUUUUUCUGAAGUCCUUUCUUCACCCUGACAGGAGAGAGUGGAAUAAUUAAAAAAUUUAAGAUUUUCCCCCCUCUAAUUGCCAGGUGCUCAGAACAGCCUCAAAAAAAUUUUAUUAGAGGCCUGAGGGAGGGAGAAGCUCCGUAACAUUUUGUCUUAAUUUGAAUUAUAGGACUUUUAAAAAUAUAACUAUUUCAUACAUAUGAAAAAAACUGCUGAGUCUUUACUGCUACAUUACAGAUACUGUCUGCCUCAUGGAGCUCCCCCCUUCAUUUAAUGUAGGAGUCCGAGACUUCUAGAGAGCGUAUAGGAAGGAGGAGAGAAGGUAUGUCUGCUUGGGAAAGAACUGGAAUAGGACUCUAGGGAGCUGAUUUCUACUCUUGUCACCUGUACAGGCUUUUUUUUUUUUUUUUUAAUGCGUAAUUGAGGUCAAAAAAAGCAUUUAACUGAAUCUACAUGGACAGACUUGGCUGCACUUCAUCUGCUUUUCUGCAUGAUAACUUAUUAAAUUGGGCCCUUUACCGAACAUGAGGAAUAUACAGAUUGCAUAUAUGACAUUGACAGUCAAAACGGAGCACUUUUUAGGGUUCAUAAACCACAUAUAAUUGUAAACAUAUGCAUCAGAGAACAUUUCCACACGCUUUCAGUAUUUUCCUGUGUAAAGCGCAGGAAGAAUAAUAAAUCAAAGGACCAGAUCUGCAGAUACCACCUGAAGUGUGAUUUCUUGUAUUUGCAGAAAAUGCUUCAGGAUAUGAAGCUGAUUUUAUCCGAUAACUAGUCUUUGCAGCACAAGACUGGAAAAACAAAGCCUGCUGACAGUAAAAUCAGAAAAGUAGGCCAAAUGAUCCAAAAAUCCUUGCUGCGCAGAUUUUUAAUUUGCUAGUUUAAGAGAUGGAUCUUCUUGACAAGAUGGUGCAGUUCUACACGUUUGUACAAGAGCCCAGGAAUAGAAAUACUCUUGUAGCAUAUAGAUAGCAGUUAUUUUCCUUUGAUAUAAACUUUUAUCGUUUAAACACACUGGGAAAGAGAUCCCCAAAGUCAAAUAAACAAAAAGCUAUUUACCAUUUAGACUUAUCAGUGUUUACCUGUAGCAUCACAUUCUUUAGUUUGUUUCCCAUUUUACAGAGCUCUACUGCAUAGUAGCAGCACAGAUUGCCACCACAGUUUUUCUGCAUUCAGAAACCUCACAUUUAAUUCCUAUUACAAACAUUUUCGUCUUUUUGCAAGUUGCCUACUACAAGAGGGAAACAAGGCCUACACUGGAUCAAAAUACAAAUGAAAGAAAGAAAACUGAUUUAUCUUCUUAAGAGCAUCUUAUUACCUUGAAAGUAUCAUCAGACAUAGCUUUUUAUGGGAUAUUCUCUCCCUUAAGACAUAGAUUGAAGAUUAUGACUUCUUUCACUAGUAAAGUUAACAUAUAAAAGAAAGAUAAUUUAUUUUUGCAAGCUGCAGCAGUAUGUCAAAUAAAAGAUAUUACCUCCCUUAAUUACUGCUGUUUUAGUUUUAGACCAUCAUGACCACAACAUUCUAUUUUACAAGUACAGCCAACUUGUAAAAAUAACUGUUAUUUUAUAUAACAACAGAUAUACAAAUAACUGGUAUUUACUUUUAUUCAAUAAUGAUACCUUGAAAAUUAGAGUUAGUUCUGGUGAAAGAAACAAAAGAAAAGAAAAAUAUUCUGUUUAGGACUUAAAAAAAAUAAAAGAUAAAUUUUAAAAAAAAGCCCUACAUUAAAAACAUAUUUGGUUCUCACAGUAUCAGAAUUACCUGAAGGUAAGGUAAGCUGGCCUGCUCCCCAAUAUUUUGAAAUAGUAAUUUAUUAACAAAAAAAUUCAACUGGAUAUCUGUUUCACAUUUUAGACAAAAAAAGAUUUUUUAAGAAGUCAUGCUCUAUCCUAAGCAUCAGCCCUGUAUACAGUUACCUCACACACUGCUUUUGAAAACUUCUGAAAAUGUUUGCUGUGAUAGAAUUGUUUAGAGAAUAGUUAAUACUUCACACAACAAGUCUUUUCCAUAGUUUCCUGAGAUUGUGGACUCUGUGUCCACCUCUGUGAACUCUUUCUGCUCAUUCCUUUAGGCAUUAUGAAGAACAAGGGCUGUGACCCAGAUUUGUCACCAAGGUUCUUACAGAAUACAUAUCAGUUCUGGCACACUUUUCACUGAGAUUUGAUCACUUCUUGUGAUACCAAAAGACCAAAUACUAAAAAAAGAAAGCGUUUCUGUAGAGUUAAUCACAGAAGCAGCUUAGCUGUAUGGUUCCUAGAUGAGCAGUUGAUCACAAAGGCCAGAGUACUGCUGCCUUCUGAAACACACCAGUGUUCAUGAUCAAAACUGGCUAGGAGAAGAUGCAUUUCAAGUUGUGAAUCAUUCAAUUUUUUCUUAUUGGAGUACAAACAUAGGUUCAGAGAUUUCAAGUAUAGAUAAAAUCAGAAAUCAUUUUUUAGGAUGAACAGGUAAGUAAAACAGCCAUCCAACUAGUAUACUGGGGCUCUAUCUCUGUCUUAGCUGCACUUAUAUCAUUUAAUAUGUGUUGUACCUUAGAUCUCCACUUUUAAAACUAAUUUGAUUAUUUAAACUCCUAUCAAAAUAGGUUGGUGUUAGAAAUGUCUAUGUUUCCUUCUCAAAAACAAAUCAAACAAUGCAGGAAAAAUAAUAAUAAUAAUAAUAAUAAAAAAAAACAGAAACAAAACCAACCACCCAAAAUAGUAAUAAUAUAUAAUAAUAAUAAUAAUAAUAAAAGCCUCAGAUAAACAAACCAAUACAUUCAAUGUCUCAUGUCAAAGACUGAAAAGGAAAUCUAAGGGCUAACAGAUGCAAACUGAGUCCAAUACGUAAAGGUCAUUCAGAUGUUAAUCAGGAAACAUUAGAAACAAUCUUGACAACAAAGUAUAAAUCUGCUGCCAAACAUGAUUUGAAAAGCCUCAGCUCUACAUUUCAAAUUUUCAAACAAGCUCACAAAAAAUCUUCCCAUAGUUCUGGAAGAAUGGUAGAGAGGACUAAAAUCUUAGCAGUCCUAUGUUAAGAAGACCACUAAAAGAGCAGUCCCUAGAGGACUAUAAUCUUAGCAGAAUAUUGGAUCUUGGAGUUAACAACAGCAAGAUAAUACAUACAUAAUAUUGCAUAAAUUGCUUUGAGCUUUUCUAUAUCAUCGCCAUAUGGUACGUAGGAGUUCCCAGCUCCCACACACAGGGAUUUUGGGAUUCUCUGAAGAGCACCACAAGAAAAGAUAAAAACCAAAGGUGUUUCAGCAUGAACUCUUGUAUAAGUUAAUUCAGUCUUCUUGCUCCUUUCAUUCCUUAGCAACAUUUUUUUGCAUGUUCACUGAUCACUCCUUUGAAAGAGAAAUAGAAAACGUGGAGAGGAGAACUGUACCUGCUAAGUGGUAGAAGAUCUGAAGAACAUCAGACAGUCUUUGUUAUCAGAAACGUGUGCAUUGAAGUGCUGAGAUGGCAUGCUGGGACAGUAGUUGACACUUUUGAUGGUAGCUGCAGCUAGCAUGUAGAUUGAAGUAUUAUUAUAGAAUCACUGAAUCACUUCAGUUGGAAGAGAUCAUCUCAUCCAACUGCUCCGGAAUGAAAAAGGACACUUUCAGCUAGAUCUGGCUGCUCAGGGCCCCACCCAGCCUGACCCUGAAUGUCUCCAAGAAUGGGGCAUCCACCACCUCUCUGGGCAAUCUGUUCCAAAGCCUCACCACUCUUAUUGGGCACAGGCACAUUGCUGGUUCAUAUCCAGCUUCCCAUCCACCAAUACCCCCACUCCCCCCAGGUCUUUUUUUGCAGGACUGUGCUCCUUUUAUCUCUCACCUUGUACGGUAGUGGAUGUCGCCACAAUCCAGGUGCAAGACCUUGCAUUCGGAUUUGUUGAAUCUCAUGAGGCUUACUUGGGCCCACCGCUCAAGCCUGUCUGGAUCUCUCUGGAUGGCAUUCUGUCCCUCAGGCAUGUUGACAACACCACACAGCUUGGUGUCAUUCACAAACUUGCUGAGGGUGCACUCAAUCCCACUGUCCAUAGCACUGCUGUGAAGACAAAUGCCAUCAACUCCAACAGUUCAUCCCUUCCUCUUUCCUUGUCCCAGCUUUUAUUGCUGAACACAAUGCCGUGCGGUAUUGGAUAUCUCUUUGACCAGUUUGGGCCAGCUGUCCUGGUUACAUCCCCUCCUAGCUCCUUGUACACAGUACGCUGCAAGAAUUUCACAAGAGAACACACUCUCAGAUUCUACAGAGAAAAUGGGCAGGUUUCUUAUUAGUGCUAAAAGAAGCUACAUACUUGGCAACUAAUAGCAUAUCAGCAUCUAGGCAGAUUUUUUCUAUUAUUAAAU